AAAAGUGAAAAGCUAUGACCAUGGCAGUACACUGUUGCUGGUAUGACAACUUUCAAAACAGUUCUUCGGGAAAGGGCGAAGAAGCAGGUCUCUCAGGAGGUUGGAGAUGUCUGUGAAAUACGUGAGGAGGAACAUAUGAGGCCCAGGAAGUCAUGGGUCAUUUAUCGUCCAGUGGGAUAUUCUGUAGCCAUCUUUGUGACAACCAAAAGAUCUGGGAGAACCAGAAAACCAGAUACUUUAAGGCAACAUAUGAAAAACUAAGGUUUUUUUGUACCUCAGCCUAACCUAAACAGUGUUGUCACCACAUCAAAUUGAAGACGGAAACAUAAAGAAAUUUAAACUAUCAACACAUUCUUGGAAUGCAAAAAGGUGUAGUUCCAACAUUUGUGUUGGUGUUUGGGGUUGCUAUCAUUUUCAGAUACAGAAGCAAAAGUGAAUUGAUAUUCUUCCAAGAUUUGUGCCCCAAGUUAAAAUAAUUUUGACUUUGGCACUAAGCACAUUGACAUUCAUGAGGCUUAUCCAAUGGCAGGUUAACAGGGGGCAGAAUUUCUGAGGACAUCACAUUUGACAGCAAGGGCCGAGAGUUAACUUUUUGUGUAACUCAUACUUAGAUAACUUCAAAAAUAUGAUUAUACUUAAUUCAUUUACUUUAUUAGCAUAAAAGAUACAGAUAUAUAUAUAUCAUAUAUGACGGGAGAAAAUACUUGAGAGGACGGGGAUAUCAGGAUAGAAAAUUUAAAUGUUUUUCAUUAAGAUAUUCUGCUUCAAAUGAAGUGUAGAUAGAAACAUGUUGGACGAUUAAUGUGCUUUGACUUGAAAGCAUUAAGUUUUAUUGAUAUCACCAGUAAAUACAUGUGGACUGUU